UACGGAGGGGGCAAGCGUUGUUCGGAGUUACUGGGCGUAAAGCGAGCGCAGGUGGUUUAAUAAGUCUGAUGUAAAAGGCAGUGGCUCAACCAUUGUGUGCAUUGGAAACUGUUAGACUUGAGUGCAGUAGAGGAGAGUGGAAUUCCAUGUGUAGCGGUGAAAUGCGUAGAUAUAUGGAGGAACACCGGUGGCGAAAGCGGCUCUCUGGACUGUCACUGACACUGAGGCUCGAAAGCGUGGGUAGCAAACAGG
rnacentral:rRNA from 1 species